rnacentral:rRNA from 1 species
UUAACACAUGCAAGUCGAACGGAAAGGCCCUUCGGGGUACUCGAGUGGCGAACGGGUGAGUAACACGUGGGUGAUCUGCCCUGCACUUUGGGAUAAGCCUGGGAAACUGGGUCUAAUACCGGAUAGGACCACGCGCUUCAUGGUGUGUGGUGGAAAGCUUUUGCGGUGUGGGAUGGGCCCGCGGCCUAUCAGCUUGUUGGUGGGGUAAUGGCCUACCAAGGCGACGACGGGUAGCCGGCCUGAGAGGGUGACCGGCCACACUGGGACUGAGAUACGGCCCAGACUCCUACGGGAGGCAGCAGUGGGGAAUAUUGCACAAUGGGCGCAAGCCUGAUGCAGCGACGCCGCGUGAGGGAUGACGGCCUUCGGGUUGUAAACCUCUUUCAAUAGGGACGAAGCGCAAGUGACGGUACCUAUAGAAGAAGGACCGGC